rnacentral:rRNA from 1 species
CCUACGGGAGGCUGCAGUGGGGAAUAUUGGACAAUGGGGGCAACCCUGAUCCAGCCAUACCGCGUGUGUGAAGAAGGCCCUCGGGUUGUAAAGCACUUUCAGUGAGGAAGAACGCCUGGUGGUUAAUACCCAUCAGGAAAGACAUCACUCACAGAAGAAGCACCGGCUAACUCCGUGCCAGCAGCCGCGGUAAUACGGAGGGUGCGAGCGUUAAUCGGAAUUACUGGGCGUAAAGCGCGCGUAGGUGGCUUGAUAAGCCGGUUGUGAAAGCCCCGGGCUCAACCUGGGAACGGCAUCCGGAACUGUCAAGCUAGAGUGCAGGAGAGGAAGGUAGAAUUCCCGGUGUAGCGGUGAAAUGCGUAGAGAUCGGGAGGAAUACCAGUGGCGAAGGCGGCCUUCUGGACUGACACUGACACUGAGGUGCGAAAGCGUGGGUAGCAAACAGGAUUAGAUACCCUGGUAGUC